rnacentral:tRNA from 1 species
GGAGUGGUGGUUCAGUGGUAGAAUUUCCCAUCUUCCACCUGGGAGACCCAGGUUUGACUUCUGGCCGAUGUA